rnacentral:lncRNA from 1 species
GACUGUAGGUUCAACUCGGAAUGUGGCUUCACCUUCACUACAACAAAAACGGUCUAUAACAACACUUUUAAAUAUCGGUACAUGUCAAAAAAGUGCUGCUGGCUAAAUUACCUACAUUUUUAAAAAGUGUUACUAUAUGUAGGGUCACUAAAUAUAUAGUAACAGUUAAAGAGUGUCGGUAUAGCCAAAAAACGUGCUCCUAAUUUACUAACACUUAUUUAAACACUUAGCAACCAUCGGAACUCGACCUCGUUGGCUGCGGUGGCGGAGAAUGAGGAGAGUGAAGGGCUCUUCGUCUAGGAUUUUAGUGGAUUGAGUAAGGGAAGAAGUGGAGAUGUUAAUCGAUUUUUCUUUUUUUUUUCUGUUUGUAAUCGGGUCGAAUGACUGGAUAGGGUGGGUUGAGUACAGUAACCUUUUAUUUUUGGUUGGAUUGGGCUUUCUAUUUAGGCAUUAGUAAAUUUUUUUUUAAGUUUUGGCAUAAAUAAGACACUUACACAAAAGUGUCCCAAACAUGUGUCGCUAUAAUCUAAUUCUGUUGUAGUUUGAUCCAAUAAUUAGACUAGCUAAUAGAGAAAAAUAAGCUUUUAAAUAAAAAAAAGUUGUAGAGUUACAAUCUAUUUUGGAUUCUAAACCUAGCACUGCAAAUUUAUUUAGCUUUACCCACAGUAUUAUUCAAUAAAAUAUUGUUAUAUUAUUAAAAUGGAAUAAAGAAGCAUCAAAUUUGAACUGGGUUUAUAAUCUUUGUUCUACUUUUUGCUAUAUUAAAGUUUAAGAGUUUAAUUUUCUUUUCCUUUUCUAAAUGUUUUAUUAUAAACUAACCAUUAGACCCUAUAUCUAUGGUCGAAUUAGAAGUUUCGAAUUAAAGUUUCUUUCUCUUGAGACUCGAUCUGUAUCAAUCUUCCACUGUAAUAGAAAAUUUGAAGUUUUCAUUUUGUAAAAUAUGCCUUUUGGGAUCACUAGAGUUGAAAGUCGAUGUAGAGGUAGGGCUAAAUAGGCUUUACAUAUAGUGUUUGUUUGGUCUAACUUCUAUUUUUGUUUUGAACUACAAUCACUUCACGAAUAGCCUUCGGCAAAUAAAAAAUUUUGCGCUUAACUGUAGUAAAAAGUAUAUAAAUGAGAUUUUUCACAUUAAAAAAUAAUAUUUUAUGUCAAAAGAGAAAAGUUUAUUCUGCCACGAUUAUUUCACACAAAACUAACAACAUUCAAUUACAGAACUCUACAUUAUACACAAGUACAUGAAUUACAUUACUAUAAUUAGAAAUUUUACCAUCUUAUAGCACACAAUAGGAUUGAUUGAAAUCUUGUUUGAAUAUCGAAAUAAGUUAUCAAUAUGAGAAUUUUCUUUUAUGAUUGAAAGCUACAAGUUUGAAUUUGCUUUUGAAAGAUUUUUUUAGCAUUUACAAUUUGAUAGGAUAGUAUAUUUCACCUUCGUUGUAAUUUAACUUAUCUUAAAAAAUAACUUGAAGAAACAAAAUAUUGUAUACCUUUGAAAUCACAUUUCUCAUCGACCAAAUAUUACAACCUUCUUCUAUAAACUAAAAGAAUAUACCGAAUAAGAUAUUCAUGUAUUCAAAUAGGACUUUAUGCCUUGUUUGGACGCAUAGACAUCUUAUUUUUGUAUAUCCCUUCUAUUUACUAAACAUGUAUAUAGCAAUUGCUAGGCAAGAGUGCGAUAAAAUAUCUUGAAUGCAUACGAUACUCGAUCCUCCAAUUAUUUUUCACAAUAAAUUAACAUAAUUUGUCACGUAUGUAUGUGAAAUAUAUUGUCUUACCAAACCAUAAAUGCUGCUAACUUUCGAGGAGUAAACAUAAAAACUCCUAUCGUUCAAUCACACAAAAAUAAAAUAAAAUUUAUACAGAAUAAAUUAUUAUUAAAUAUUUUACAUCCCGUCAUUCAAUCAGCGCUUCAAAAUAAUCUUAUGCAGAUAAUAUAUAUAUAUAUAUAUAGAGAGAGAGAGAGAGAGAGAGAGAGAGAGAGAGAGAGAGAGAAAGUCGUUGGGGUACUAUCGAUAGCACCAAGCACUUGGUGUUACUGAAUUUUUUACCAUUAGAUUUAUCCCUUUGAUCAUUUUUAAUCGUUAGAUCAUGCUUUUUAGCCAACCACCUACUCAAUCCUAACAAACCACUAUUAAUCUAAACGAGGACAACUAUCAUCCUAACCAUAUACUUUUUCAUCUAAGAGCCGAAAACCUAAUAGCACUAAUAACUUGGUGCUAUUAAUAGUAUUUCAGCCAAAUUCUAUAUAUAUGUGGACCAAGCACCGGAUGCUAAUAAGUUUUUCACCGUUGUAUCUACCUAUUUGAUUAUUUCCACUCGUUGGAUUAUACUAUUCAACAAACCAUCCAUUCAACCCUAGAAAAUUAAUAUCAUUCUAAUUGUACAUCAUUUCAUCUAAGAACUAAAAAUUUAAUAGUAUCAAUAAUUUGAUAUUAUUAGAAGUAUUUCAGUCUAAUUAUGUAUAUACGUAUAUACACACCUGUGACACAUGAUAAUAAUAAAAGAUGAUUAGAAGGUCGAGAGGGUGUAUUAUGAAUGAUGAUGGAGGGUGACAGUGACUGCCAGCGAAUGGGGGGAAAUAAUUAGGGGAAGAAUGACGGGGAAGACUAAUGUAUGUGUUUCUCGGCCGUUGACUUGUCAUCGGAGGGUCGUAGGUCUCCCACGUGGCAGACAAGGAGCUGUGGCUAGUCCCGUAAAAUCCGGUGCUUUUUUCUCUGCCUUCUCCCUCACUUUAAUGUCUCAUUCUACUGUUCAUUUGGGCUGUGCUUUUUUUAAUUUUUUCCUUUUCCUUUUUUAAUAAUAAAAAUUUAAUAUUGAUAUAUAGAUUCUGUUGUUAACUACUCGUGUUUUUGGAUGUAUAAUAUAGAUAUAUUUAAUUGGUUGAUAGAUGUUUUAUAUCUAGAACUGCUUAAUGUGUUUUAUCAACGAGAUAAAAAUAUUUUUAUAGAUUCGCUAAUUUUUGUUAUCAUUUAUCGAUUUAACUUUGCCUCAUGUUUAAUUAUUCGUCGUGUAUAUAUAUAUAUAUAUAUUCACAUGAUUGUAGGGUAGCAAAUUAUCUAAUGAACUCUGGUUAAUAAGGAUUCAUUUAUUUAUUUCUGUCGUCGGAAGUGUUAUCUAAAUAGUAUUCUUUAAAAAAAAGAUAAAAAUAUAUCGAACUUACCUAAACGAUGGACCAUUUUGAAUUGGUUGUCUAUCCUUUCAAAAUUUUGAUUUUAUUACCCAACAUUUCACUUUUUUUGAUUUUAGUCGGUGAACGAUAUUUUAACUUUAAACUUUAAGUCAAUUAUUUAUUUUAAUAAAUUUAUAAUUGCGAUAAUUGAAUAAAGCAUACUAACUAAAGCUAUAAAGAUAAACAAUGUAUUCAAAUUUAGAAGUCAAAGUGCUGCUAACUGAUUCAGAUCUAACAAAUUAAACGUUUUGAACAGUUCAAAAUAGUCUAUAGUUUGGGUAGGUACACUACAUUGUUUACCUUAAAAAGAGUAUUGUAUAAAAAAAAUUUGAAUUCUGUAGCAGAAUCAUUAUAAACCAAAUUGUAGUUUCUAUAUUCCCUGUAACACUCCCAAUAGUCCCACAUCGGAUGGGAUACUGAUUUCGAUCAGUUUAUAUGAGACCUACACGCUAGUAAUAGUAACUGGGCUUAAGCAUUUUUGGCCGGCGGUUUGGCUCAACGAGUUAUUGUUGCUAGCGGGUCAGGUUGUUGUAAUUGGUAUCAGAUACAGGUUACCAGCCGAAAGUGUGAGAACUAGGCGCUAUGCGGGACAAAGUGCUACACCAACGGGUUUGGUGGGAGCCACCUCUUGAACCCGUAGGAGCCACCUCUAGAAUCUGCCUGGUAAUAGUCCUGGUUUGCCUGUCUGUGAUCUGGUUUGGACCUGACGAUGAUGUCAGAGUCUAACAUGGGGAGUUUGUAACACCCUGGUUUAAAACAAUCUAUUAAAGGUUAAUAACCGCUAAUCGAAGCCGAAAUAAAAGAAAGAACAAAAAGGCUUAUUUGGCGGAACAACUCAUCUAACCAUUAGAACAUCAUUUUCAUGCAGUACUACAAUUUUUGAACAUGAAAUACUAAGAUUACCGAACUGACAACUAAUUAAACUUCGAGGACUAAAAAAAAAGGGUGAAUAAAUGGAUUGCACAACUAAUCCUCAGAACAAUUAAUUCCAGAUGUUAAAUUUCUGCGCUUUAAUUCUCAAACUUUUCGAAUCAGACCCCACUUUCAGGUUUUGCUUACAAGUUUCGUUCAAUAGAGAAAACGUGACGCUAAUGUAAUAAUGAUAUAGUAAUGACAUAACAUUCAUAUACAUCAUCACUACCACCUUAGUUGAUCAGUACCAUUCUACUACAGUAGCUAACUAUAAUGUGGUUGAUUUGGUGCACUGGUCCAGGCAAUAUGUUUUAUUUUUUUUUCCCCUCCUAAGACAACAACUUUUCAUCAAAAAGCCAACCAGUACUGGCUCUUUAGUCUCAGUAAGAGGAUGAGAUGAUUUUACUAAAAAUAGAUUAGGUUUACAAAUUGCAAUCUACUAUCUAGGAGGCGAGAUACAGUCAGUACGAAUCUAAAGUAUACUCAGAAAGUAGUGAUGUAUUAAUGCUGCAAUCGAUGAGGCGACAAUUACCAAUGAUAUCACAUUACUAUCAUAUCAAUGAGGUAUCAGUAUCUGGUUAACUAAAUUGAACUGUAAAUUAUUGUAGGUAUUUGAAAAAAUUUUAAGUCAUAAAUUAUAAUAAAUUGAAGUUUGUUUUCACUCUUGAGUUUUUUAAUGUUAUAAAUUAACAUAUAAGUUUAAUAUUAGACCUCUUAUAAUUCAAUCUAUGCACUUUAAUUACAUUUCUAUGGUUUAAAAAGUUACACUUGAAUGUCUUUAUUCUCAUUUCUACUUAAACUAUAAAGGGCCUAUCAUCACUAAUUAUCUUGGACAUGUCACAUGGGUCAUUAAAAUAUAAUUCGUGCUCAUUUGCAAGGACAUAAAAAUAUUCUAUGACCUCGGAAAGAAAAGGAAAGAAGGAUUAGAGCAUCACUUCCAAUUUAAAUGUAACAUUACAAAUUAAUCACAUAACGACAAAAUAUGCAUGAGCCAAACCAUCAUGGCCAAAAUUGAAACGUAAAAUACACGAAUUUUACGUUUUGCUGACAUGACAAAUUUCUAUUAGUCCCUUUUUAAUUAGUUAUCAUGUAUAAUUAUCACUUUAAUGAUCAUAAAAUACAUUAAUUAACUAUCUCCUAACUUAUACUAGCAUUUAGUUUAAUCCUACAUAUUAGCAUGCAUGCAUGCUAGAGGUGUUUGGGUUUUUUUUAAAAAAAAAAAAAUUAAACUGACGAAAAAAUAAAGUUUCACCUAGAAAUUAUAUUUUUAAAAGUAUAUUUUUUUACCGACCGUCCCUAGAGUAAGUGGCAAAAGGUGUGGUGGUUGAUACCCGAGACCCAAAUUCGAAUCUCAGUUGAUUCACAUUUCAAACUAAGUUUAUUUAUAAAUAAAAUAAAUAAAGAGGAUAGCGUGCUACCUAUCUCUCAAAAAAAAUCCUUUGUAAACUGUUGCAGAAUGCAUGUGCAUGGAGCACAAAAUACAAAACUAUCAUAGAAAAAAAAAAUAGUUUGAAAAGACAUAUAUUCGAGCUAAUUAAAACUAGGGAAAGCAAUGGUGAGUGAAUGAUGUGGGUGACUCCCAACAAACAUGUUCCCCCUUACCCCAUUCCUCUUCUCUCCUCGAGCCCUGUGUGGCCUCCCCAGGUAGAGUUGACUCUUCUCUCUCUCCUUCUCCAUCCGCUCCUAGAAUAAGAGUCUAUAAUGCACCAGUUUUGUUACGGACUUAGUAAUUUUGCUGACAAAUAUUCUUUCCGGAAGCUUUAGCUGCAUCCAUCUUAUAAGUCUAGUUCAUCUCUUUUAAUGAAUGAAGCAGGUAGCUCGCUACCUUUCUCUCAAAAAAAAUUUUGCUGACAAAUAUUCAUACAGUUCUCGCCUUCUUAUUCGAAGAUGUUAAGUCUGUCUCAAUCUUGCUAGUUUGGACUUAGUCGAUCUAAAAGACUAAGUGCAACAAAAAAAAAAAAAAAAGAGAGAGAGAGAAAGAAUAGAAAUUCUAUAAAAAAAUUACAUAUUCUGUUACUCAGAAAUAGAAAUUACAAAUAUACUCUUCCUCUUACUUACUUUGGCCUCAAAGAUUCUCCCUACUUAUAGCCCUUUACUUACAAGAAAAGCUGUCCACAUUAAUGCAAGUAAACCUAGGGAUUGCUCUUGAUAUUUAGAUUUUCACAGAAUUAUUUCUUUUCUUUUUUUUUUUUAAGAAAAAGGUAGCAUGUGACCCGUUUUAUUUAUUUUUUUAGAAAUAAAUUUAGUUAAAAAUGCGAAUCAACUAGUAUUCGAAUUGAGAGUUCGGGUACUAACCAUCAAGCCUUUUGCCACUUGCGCUAGGAACAAUCGGUCACAUAACCGUUUCUUGAGGCCCUAAUUUGUGCAGUUACAAAAUGCUUCAAAUCCCACAAAAGCAUCUUGUACAUUGUCUCUUCGGUUGCCCUUUCUCAAUUAGCAAAGUUAGGCCAGAGACUUGGGACAGAUAGAAAUUUCUCUUAAGUCGCUGAUAAGUUGCAUUGCAUUAUCUAUAUCCAGCCAAUCAUAUCUUACAAAAAUAUUUUUUUUAAAAAUCAUAAUGGCAUGGAUGAACUCUAGGAGAGUAAUUGAUUAGUUAGAAAUACCAAAUCAUCUAUGUGACUCCUAUAUUUUAGGUUUUUUUUUUCUUUACACAUCUUAUAUGUUCUUAGCUUUGCAUAUAUAUUUUAUAUAUUUUUUUUAUUAAAACCAUACUAUUGAAAUGUUAAUUGCACCUGGUCCCCAACCUUUACAUGAUUUUUUUUAAUGGUUCCAUCUUUAAUCUCUUCUAUUUUAUGCGUGCCUAUCGCGUCAAGCUGGUCAAUUUGACCAUCCUUAAAAUCACCCUCCAUAAUACAGCCAAUCAACCAUAUCUCGACCUCACAUUUGACGAUGCCUAUCGUAUCUUUUGAAGAAUUCGACGCCUUGACGUCGAGUCAGGCAUGCCACCAUGCAAUUUUUUUCAGAAAGUUGAAAAAGUCGGUGUUGAGAUUGGCAUAAAGAAACUAGAUUAGCAUAAUCGUGAUCUAAGAUCAUACGGGUCAAAAUUAACAACAAUGUGCAUGGCUAGAACCUAACAGCAGUAAAUUAAAUAUAAAUGUCAAAGAUCUAAUUGUAAAAAACAAAGUUAAGAACAAAUGGCACUACAACAGAAUUAGGUUAUAGUGACACAUGUUUGGGACACUUUUGAGUAAGUGUCCCAUUUAUGCUAAAACUUAAAAAAAUAUCUGCUAAUGCCUAAAUAUAAAGCCCAAUCCAACCAAAAUAAAAGAUUACUCUACUCAACCCACCACACCCAGUCCAUUUAGCCCGAUUACAAACAAAAAAGAAAAAAAAAAAAGAAAAAUCAAUUGCCAUCUUUUCUUCUCUCUUCACUCAAUCCAUUGAAAUUCUAGACGAAGAGCCUUUUCUAUCGUCCUCCUCCGCCACCACAGUCAACGAGAUAAAGUUUCGGCGGUUGCUAAAUGCUUAAAUAAGUGUUCGUAAAUUAGCAGCACUCUUUUAGGUUAUAGCGACACUCUUUAACUGUCACUAUAUACCUAGCGACCCCACAUAUUGCAACACUUUUUAAAAGUGUUGGUAAUUUUACCUAACAGCACUUUUUUGACAUAUACCUACAUUUAAAAGUGUCGCUAUAGACCGUUUUUGUUGUAGUGUGGUGCAAUUAACCCAUAAAAUGUAGUUCCAUUAAUUAAUUAUGUAUUACUGUAACACGGAGAAAGAGAGAGAGAGAGAGAUUAUUAGGGGAUUAGUGCGACGCGGAGAGGACACACACCCCGAAACUAACAAACUCAGCCCACACGUAAUAAUUAUAAUCCAUGUGAUCAUGUGUUAGUGUCGUAUUAACUUGAUUAUUACAGGGACGUGUGCGCUAAUUAAUUAUAUUUGUAAACGGCUUUUAUCCUUGAGCAUUUAUAUUUUUGUUCUUUGUUACAAAUAAAUAUUAAUUAAUUAAUUGCAUGGGAAUUGGGAUUAACGCAACACGUGAUACGUACUCAUCUUAAUAAAAGCGUCAAAAAAGAGUCAAAUACGUACAGAGCUAGUAUCCGGAACCCGUACGUUCCCUACUAUCCUCUCUCUCUCUCUACUAUCCUCUCUCUCUCUCUCUCUCUCUCUAGAUCUCUCAGUUUACUUUUUACGUAGCUUGGUUACAGCAUUCAACAUUGAUCUUAAUUAGAGAAUCGUUACAUAUAUAGUUCACUAACUACAAUGAGAUGUGUGACACAUUAAUUAAUAAUAUUAGUACAGAGUUCGACUAUUAUAUUAUCGAUAGUACCAAGCAUUUAAUGCUAUCGAGUUUUUCGCCGUUAAAUCUAUUCAUUUAACUAUUUUCACCUGUUAAAUUAUAUUAUUCAAUCAACCACCUACUCAAUCCCAGAGGGUUAUUAUUAUUCUAACGGCACGUUCAUUUUUCCAAGGCCGAAAACCUAAUAGCACUAAGCGCUUAUAGUAGCAUAUAUAUAUAUAUAUAUAUAUAUAUAUAUAGAGCUAGUCUCCUAUACUAUCUAUAGUAUCGGGGCUUCAGUAUUAUAGUGCCGUUUUCGAUCUUCGGGUAUUCAAAUUAACGGUCCACACCGUUAAAACUGAUCUAGAUUAUUUAAAGUUUUUAGAAAUAAAAUUUUAUAUUUUUUCGACAUAGUUUAAUUUAUGAUCAAACCAUUUCAAAAUUGUCAAUUUUCAAUGACUACUAUGACGAGUUUGGAGUUUAACGGUGUAGAAGAAUCUAAAUUUAUUCAAAUUUUGAUAGAAAAUACUUUAAACUAUUUAGAUUAAGGUUAACAUUCAUGAUCUUGAAUUUAAAAGUCUUAUGUUCAAAUUUUAAAGAUUAUUCAAUUUCUACCGUCCAUUUUGAUAUAAUUUAUUUACUAAAUAAACAAUGUCGAAAAAAGCUAAAAUUUUAUUCCUAAGAACUUCAUAUACCCUAUAUCAUAUUUAAUGGUGUGGAUCGUUAAUUUGAACACCCUAAGAUCGAAAACAAGACUAUAGUACCGGAGCUCCGGUACUAUAGAUAGUAUUGUAGCCUAAUUCUAUAUAUAUAUAUAUAUUGUCUAUUUUCAAAUUUGUUAAAAAUCUACCGAACUUAACUAAACUAUAGACCAAUUUUAGUCUGCUACCAAAACUUUUAAAAUCUUAAUUUUGUUUGAUUUGGGUCAGUUAACGAUACUUUAGUUUUAAAAUUUGAAUGAGUCGUUUAUCUUUAUAUAUUUAGUUAGUAUAUACUUUAUAAAUUUAAAUUUUAAAGUAAAAUAUCGUUGACCGGCUCAAACCAAAUAAAUUAAAAAAUUAGAUAAUAAAAUCUAAAUUUUAUAAGUCUGGAUAACCAACUCAAAAUCAUUCAUAAUUUAAGUAAGUUUUCUCCUCACUUGUAGUCUCAUUAAUUCAAUUAUUUUUUCUCAUUUGUUUCAACUCCACUUUCUAGGCUCAUUCUAAUGAAACACUCAAACCAAGUUUAUUUAUAUCAUCUACUUAAGAAAUUAGUAAUUUAGAAGCUAAUUUAUCUGUCACGUCAUCUUCAUUGAUAAUUUGACAUUUGAUUUGAGUGCUAAAAUUAAAUGUUCAAUGUCGCCAUGUUAUCUGAAAGAGAUUGUGCAGUGAUGUACAUAAAUAGUUGUCACAUUAUCUGUUAGAGAUGAUACGCUUGACCAUUAAAUAAUCUACCACAUUGUUCAUCUAUUAAUAAAAUUAGAUAAAUUCAAUUGAAUCCAAAUUAAAGAGUUAUAAAUUCAGCAACUUAUUCGGAAUAAACAAGUUUAGCGACCAUGGUAUAAUUUUACCUUUGUUGAACGUUACACACAUAUCAUUACAAAACUAGUUUAAAACCUUAUAACACCUAUAUAUAUAUAUAUAGGGUUAGAAUGAUAUUAGUUUUUUAGGGUUGAGUGGUUCCCAUAAAAUUGAGUGAUUCUUAUUGGGUUAUAAUAUUUAGGCUUAGGCUUAGUUUGGCAUUGAGGCUUAUUUAACGCUAUUAGAUAGAAUGGAGUUGAGAAAAAAACAUAUAGGGAUAUGAUUCUGCGUUCUCCAGUGGGACCGCAAAAAAUAUAUUGUAACCGACUCAUCGCGAUAUGCGGAACGCAAUAUUAGGUACGAAAACAAACAUAGUAUUUUUUCAAUGUACUUUUUAACCGCACGUAACGCAAUCUUCCCGCAAUCCCAAACAAAGCCUUAGUUUGGUAUUGAGAUCUAUUUAACGCUAUUAGAUAGAUUGGAGUUGAGAAAAAGUAUAUAUAGAGAUAUACUUCUGCGUUCUCUAUAUAUAUAUAUAUGAGUCCGGCUAUGGUGCUUGUAAAAGUACCAAGCAUUUGGUGCUUGUAAAUUUUUUACCGUUAGAUCUAUGCCUUGAUCAUUUUUACCCGUUAGAUUAUACUAUUCAACCAACCACCCACUCAACCCUAGAGGGCCCACAUCAUUCUAACCGCACAUCCUUUAAUCCAAGGGCCGAAAACUUACAAGCACCAAUGACUUGGUACCUUUAAAAGUAUAGAAGUUCAAUUCUAUAUAUAUAUAUAUUUUACUUCUCCUUCUAUACCACUUCUCCUUCUAUACCACUUGAUUGUGAUCGGCAUCGUUGAAUAUGAUCUAUACCACUUUCCAGGGGAUCACCCAUCCCAGGACUACUCCCGUCCUAGCACGCUUAACUCUCUUAACCUCUUGGGCCUUGCUACCACCCAAAAUGUUUAAGCCGGGUUAAGNNNNNNNNNNNNNNNUCCACCACCAUCCCCCUUAUCAUAAACUAGAUUCCCGAUAAUCAUUAGUUCUUCAUCUAGGUUACCGAUUUUUGGAUUAUCGUGGUAUCCCCACUUUGAACAUUUUCAUACCACCAUCAUCUCAACCUCAUAUCUCUCCAUCCAAGGGCUAAAAACACACAAGUAUCACCCUCAUGAUACUUUUACAAGUAUUCUAGCCCUACUCUAUAUAUAUAUGUAUAUAUAUAUAUAUAAAAUUACUAUUACAUUUCCUAGUAAGGUCUUAUAGUCACUCAAUAUCGUGACACUAUUCAGGGUUGACGAAUCCCAAUUAAAAUAUGGUCGGGUACAUUAAUUUGUCCUCCUACUUAGGGAUCUCAGCGGAUACGGAUGGAUAUCCAAAAUGUUUUCGGAACUCAAAACUCAACGACAUGAAUUUAUCUGAAAUAAAUGGAUAUGAUUUCAGAUAUAUGAGUAUGAAAGACGGUAAUCCGAUAUAUUUGAAUUCAGAAAUGAGUAUAAAACUCAAGUUCCUACAUUUACAUGAUCAAAUUACUUAAAUUUGUCCGAAUGAGUGGACAUUACAUAGAUUUUUCUAUUAAUAAAAUUGGGAAAGUAUUUGACUUAUUUAUUUAUUUGGUUUUUUUUUCUUCUUAAAUUUUUUUUUUUCCCCCUUAUAUAUAUAUNUAUAAGUACAAAAGACUCUAUACUCAUAUGAAUAAAGUAGCCCCAGCCUAUAUAUAUAUAUAUAUAUAUAUAUAUAUAUAUAUAUAUAUAUAUAUAUAUAUAUAUAUAUAUGACACUACCUGUUGUUGUGGGGCUCAUGACUAGAAUUAAUUUUUGAGUUCUCUUGAGAGUUGUGAGUUGCGAAACCACGCGGACGCGGCUGGUAGCAGCAGCUGGUCCCAAAAGCGCUGCUGCAUGCAAAAUGAUGCCGCACCGCGAACGGAAAGCAACGCUGCUGCACCUGCUGCUUCUGCUGCUGACCCUCUAGCUAGCUGUUAAAUUUGUCUCCAUCUCUCUCUCUCUCUCUCUCGCUCUAGAUCUCUCUCUCCAUUAUUUAUCCUAGAGAGAAGGAUAUUAAUUAAACUGUUACUAGAUCGAUCUUUUGAAUAAUAUGAUAAGUAGGACCUGUCAAUGAGUCGAACACCAGCAAGCUGGGUUUAGCUCGUGUUCGACUCAUUUAAUAAAUGAGCCGAACAUAGAUUGACUCGUUAAAAUAUUAAGCUGAAAAAUACAGCUUGUGUUUAGUUUGUUUGUUUGACGAGCCGAAUAUGAGCUGGCUUCUGAACAGCAAGUUAGAUUGUCAGCCCUACUAUUAGGUAGAAAGUUAGAAAAAAAUUUUGAAAAUUAGAAUUUUAAUCUAAUAGUUGAAAGUGACAAAAUAAAUGUCGCUUUACAUUUUUAUUGGCCUAGAAUCCAAAUAAUAAAUAUUAUAAUAUAAAUAUAUCUUUGAGCUAUAUCGAGCUGAACUGAAAACGAGUGAGCUGACCCUAGCUCGUGUUCGGCUUGUUAAGAUUUGGAAUUGAAAAAUUCAGCUCGUGGUUGGUUUCAAGUGGAAUACGAGCUGACUCGCAAACAACGACUUAGAUUGUCAGCACUACAUAUGAGCAGAGAGGAUGGUGUUAGACAAGUUCUCGAUUGUUUCGUAAACUGGUACGAAUCUAAUAAACCAAUCUGAUCCGACUAGGUUUAGUCUUGCCUCAUUCGGUUUCAAAAUCAGGUCUCAUGUAUCAACCCGAAUAAGUUUAUGGUCAGUUUCUGAUAUGACCUGAAUCCGAUUCAAGUCAGUAUUGGUACAUGCUUUGCAAAAGGUGGGAAUUGCGAAUCGGGUUGGAUCGAAUUGGGCUGACGGAUGCGGUCGGGUAAGGGGGAUCCGUCAACAGGUUUCAUUGGGCUGUAUUGGCGGAUUAACGGGUUGGAUUGGGUAGGAUUUGAAGGCGGAGUUGAAUGUCGUAAAAGGCUUAAUUAGGUUAACCCAACUCAAAACCUUAAGCUGAUAUAGAUAAAAAAAAUCUCUCAUAUUAUAUACAUAUACAAAACUAAUAUUCUUUAAUAGAAUGGCAUUCACAUGCGACACGCUUAAAAUUUGGAAUAUUCCUAUAUAUAUAAGAUAUAAUAGAGCUAAAUCUCUUUAUCCCGUUAUAUUAUUUGGGUGGUUGUUUUAGACCUAACAGUUUAAGAGUGUUAAGCAUGUUAGGAAUAGAGUAGUUGUAGGAUGGAUGACCCCCCUCGAGAAGUAAGUCGUCGCAAUUGGUAUCAAGACUAAUCACCAACUGAUCGAAGUGUUCCCAUAGCUUUCCAACUGACAAUUAUUGUGGGUGGAGCACGGCUCUCUAUAAAGUCAGUUAACUCUAGUGAGAUAAGUCUUACAUCACCUAGUUCUUGUGAGUACUUGAGCUUAACGAAAACAUUAAGAUUUAAAGAUAGAAAGUUAGUUCUAUAUAUAAAAUAUUAUAGGGCUGAAUCUCUUAAUCCGACUAUAGUAUUUGAAUAGUAACUAGGCCCGAAAGAUUAAAAGAAUUAAGCGUGUUAGGACUAAAAUAAUUAUAAAAUAGAUAAUCUUCUUUCCUCCCUUGAAAAGUGAGGCAUCACAACACGAUUACAAGAAGUGAGAUGGAAUAGACAAAGAGAGGAUGAAUGUGCGAUGCGCAGAUGUACAAAUGCACCAGAUAGAUGUAAUAAUUUGUCAUGCAUAUAUAGUGGUUGAUAUGUAUAGUGAUCAAAGGGACAAAGAUUAUUAGAGCUACAGCUCGGGCACCGUAUCAUCUCGUGUCCCAUGUGCCCCCCCUUCCUAGCUAUUUGAUUCUCUUCGCCACACCCUUUUCUUCUUUAAUUUGUCUCCCUUUAACAAGAAUAUAUUAACAUAUAUAAGUGUACUAAAAACAAAUAAUAAAUAUUCUCAUGAUCUAAACACAAACGUAUGAACUACAGUAUUGUUCGUACCUUUUUCGUAUUGCUCCCCGGGCUCCAUGCACCCUAUCUCAAAGCUACUGGUGCACUGCUCAAUGCAGCAUCUCUCUCUCUCUCUCUCUCUCUCUCUCUCUCUCAUACAUUGUAUCUAUAUAUUGAUAUAUCUAUAUAUGUAUCUCUAGCGAUGAGUGUUUUGUGACUUUGAUGCAUGGCUUAACCAAAUUGCAAGUGCCAUGCAUAUAACAUAAUAUGGAAGUUAUAGCUAAAGCAGUACCAUAGUAAGAGAAUGGAGAGUGAGAGUUGUAUAUUUUAGAUGAACAAUUAUAAGCUGUUUAUUCAAAAGGUUUUCGACACAAAAAAAAUUCUGAAGGUAUAAUUUGGAGGGUCCAUGUACUCCGAAAAUAUGAAAAUACAAUGCUAACAUACAGUAAGAUCUAAAUGCAUAUAUAUAGUAGAGGUUCAAAGAUGUGACACAUCUAAUGAAACUCAUCCAACAUAAAAGGUUAAGCAUGUUUACUCUGUUCUAUUAGUGUGUAUAUUGUACUUUUUAUUCUUUCAUUAAUCCGUUGUGGGACUGUGCGCGCAUCUAUGAAUUCCUAAUAACAUAAAUCUAGUUAACAUACUCGCAAUGCAGCAUCGACUGCGGUAUCAAGAGCAAAACAGAUGUUGAUGUCCACUAUGCAUGUACUAUUGAUCAUUAGAUUUGCGAGUAUAUAGUGAAUAAUUCAGCACCACUGGUACCAUUUCUUAGGAUUAAGGGUCAAUCAUGAUUAAUCUUGUGCGUUCAGAAACUGAUAAGGUUAACGAAUUUGAAGAAUCUCCUGCUACCAUGCAUCAAUCCAGGAAGUUAAGAGAAGAAUCCUCGAUCAUAAUGCUGAGCUCCAAGAUCCAAAUGAUUGAUUCCAUGAACACUUGCAAAUUAAUAAUAAUUAGGAUCAUCAUAUACCCCAUGCAUGAACCCCACUAUCUUAACCUAGCUGCUGCUGCUACUACUACUAGGAUAAUUUCCUCAGGUGAACCUCAAUAGCACUCCACCAUUUUAUCCUCUCAACAUCAUUGCUAAUUUAGUGUGUGCAUGUGUGUGUGUGUGUGUGUGUGUAAGAGAGAGAGAGAGAGAGAGAGAGAGAGAGAGUAUAGGAUACCUAGCUAUAACAUUAUAUACAUAUAAUAUAAGAUGGAUAGGAACAAAUGGCUAGAGAUGGCACCAUGCACCAUGAGAAAUGAUCAUAUCCACCUUUCACUUUCACCUUUUGCUUUGUGCAAUCCUAUGGUGGCCAUAUCUUUGUAUUGGUUGGUUGAAAAUUGGGGUUUUUAUUUUUCUUAAAGUGAAUUAAUGCCCUAAAUUAUUAUUGUAUAUUUUAUCUGUCCAUGAAUAAAAUCUAGGUAUCCUCUUUUUGUUUGGUUGGUGAGAUCUAUUGGUUCCACUUAGUCUUUUUUAUGCCCCUACAACCCUCCAUUUACUAAUUGGGUGAACAGCAUAAAUAGGAGAGAUCUCAAGGUCCAAUUAGAUUUAGGAAUCUUUCUUAAGCCCAGUUUGGUAAUAUAGUGACUAAGCAUUUGUGAUAAAAAGCCCAAACAAUUCAAAAGUGCUUUCACUCUUUCCUUCUUUUUAGCAAUCUUUGCGCACAAAAAAAAAGAAAAAAAAAAAAGAAGCAGAUAUAAUCUCUUAAAAUAAUGCCUACUUGUGCCUAAACCUCUCAAAACACGUUUUCAAAUAUAUAAUUUCACUAUUUUCCGCGAAAUGGUGGGUCGUCAGGACGAAGCGCAACAACACUAUUUUCCACGAAAUGCCUCCCAACGUAACCCGGGCUAUCGAUCACGUCAGGUCUUUGAUGAAGGACUCGACAGAAGUUACGUGAUUCUAGACUACCCCUAUCCCCCCCUCCGUCGUUUGUUUGUUUACCUUUUGAUGUUUAAUUUUGGUUUCUUUGGUUCUGUUUCUUUAGUUUUUUCCGACUUUUGUAGGAGGCCCCAUCUGUCUUCAUUAUAUAUGCUUAGUUCAUUCCACUUAAUGAAUGAACCAGAUAGCUUGCUACCUUUUUCUCAAAAAAAAAAAAAUCACAGAUAUAAUGGUUUCUAAUAUAUUUUUUAUUUAUUUUGAAAUAAUAUGUAACUACUAUCAUCACCUUUGUUAGUUAAUUCGCGAAUUAUUCACGAACUAUUGAAAAUUCGAAUUAAACGAUCCGUUUACGAAUCUUUCCCAAUGAAAGAGAAUUAUUCGCGAAUUUUUAGGCCAGCCGAAUAAUUCGCGAAUUAUUCCCGAAUUAUUGAAAAUCUAAAUAUAAAACUUAUAAUUUUUAUGUUUAAAUAUUGAUUAUUUUAUAUUUCAUAUCUUAUAUUUUAUAUUUUAUACCGAAUCUGUUUUUUAAGCCGAAUUUUUCAAUGAAUUUAAAACUUAGAAAAUGAAUUUUAUGUAUAUUAUAUCCGUACCGAAUUUUUGCCAAAUCCGAAUUAACUAACUAUGAUCCUCACUAGCACUAGCAACUUAAAACCCAAUCACCAGCCCCAAAUGAGAGCGCGUUAUUAGUACUUAACGCGCUAAUUAUAUAUACGGCCACCCAAUUAUCUCACAAUAAUCCAUGCGAUAAACUAGUAAGGAACUUACCUGAGCUGUAGCUCAUUUGGAUUUGACUAUCUAAUCUUUCAAAAUUUUAAUUUUGUUACCCAAUCUUUGAAUUUAUUUGAUUUGAAUUACUCAACGACAAUUCGACUCCAAGAUUUAAACUGAUUACUUACUUUAAUGAAUUUACAAUUAUAAAAAAUGUAUAAAAUAUACCAAAUCUGUAAAGAGAAACAAUGCAUUCAAAUUUUGAAGUCAUAAUGCCGUUGCCUGACACAAAUCAAAUAAAUUAAAAUAUUAAACAGUAAAAUCAAAAUUUUGAAAAAUUAGAUAGGCAAAUCCAAAUAAUCUGUAAUUUAGAUAAGUUUCAUAUAUUUUUAACCAUUCCAUAUGGUACUACUACUGGGGUAUUGCAGUAUAUAUGCAAAUGCAUGUACUUGAACAAGCCCAAAAUCAAGAAUAUUCUCAUCCCAGGACUUUGUAAUCUCGUAAGAGAGUUUCAAUUAAAUGUUCAAAUAACAGGGACCACAGUGUUGUAUUUUAUUUCAUAUAGUUCAUAAAAGGCUAAAUUAUAGUUCUAGUCCUCAAACUAUGGGGGGGGGGGGGGGUGGAACUUCAGCUCUCAGACUUUAAUUCGUUGCAAUUUCUGACAUGAACUUUCUAAAAUGUUACAAUCAAAUCUCAUAAUCUUUUUUUUUGACUCAAUAUUAAUAAAUUACUAAUGUUGAAUUGAUGUGCCAUUUUAAUUAUCAUUGCAUUAUCAAUUGCGAUAUUAUUACACCACUUCUACAUUAGUAUUUCAUCAAUAUUAAUCAAAAACUUUGGAUUAUGAAACUUUAUUGCAACGAUUCAAAAAGUUCGAGCUAAAAAAUUGAAACGAAUUAAAGUUCCAAGACUAAAGUGUCACACACUUUAUAGUUUGAGUACCAAAAGUGUAAUUCACCCUUCAUAAAAUAAGGAAACAAAGAGAUUGGAAGAAACAGUUCAUUCUUAUGAAAGUUAUUUCAAAACAUUCUAAAAUAGAAAGAUCAUGCACUGCUCUCUUUUGCACACCCAUUUUUAUAUUCAGAGAGAAACUUGAACAUGAAGUAUUUGGAGCAGAACAGUUUUUAUAUCAUUUGAGAAGUUAAAAACAAAGUAAAAGACGAGUAAUAUAAGCGAUAAAGCAUUGAACAUUCACAACUAACAAGCUCAAUGCCUAAACACCAAAAUGCUAGUGCAUUAGGUGUAUGUAUGUAACUACAGCACGACAUUUAUUAUCAGAUAAUAUAUGGCUUCAAAUAAACAUAAGUAAUCUUUCUUAUCAACUCGUUCAAUGUUAAUACAAAUUUCUAUUAUCAUGUAACACUAAACUUUGUUAUUAUGCUAAUUAUAAAAACAUAUAACUUAAGCAAUCCCUCGGCGAUCAAAAACCCACAGCUGCCUCUUCAACCAUUUCUGCAGCAGCAAAAAAUUUAAGCUACUGUUAUCUUCUUUCUCUCUGUAAGAAAUUUCCAAUUUCAUUAUAAUAAUCUGGGUCUAUCCAAGUUCAGUUACUUCAACAUUUUUUUGAGCAGCUAUUCAUGUUCAUGGUAAUAUAAAUGGCGACUCUAUUUGCAAAAAUCAAAAGAGUGAUGCAUGAAAAGAUACGAGUUGACAAUAUGCCCAAAAGUUCUCGAUGUUGUAGUUCUCAAAUCAAUACAAUACUGCAUGAUAAGGAAAAGUUCAUGUUGAGACCCAUGCACGUGCGAAAAAUGAAAAUGUACUCGAACCAAAAUAAAGAUCCUUUUAUGUGCCUAGUUUUUGCUUUUUAAGAAGAUACACAUAGAAAAGGUCAUGGACACUUGAUUGAUAUAUAAUGUAUGUGUCAUCUACAAUAUGAAGUGGUCACUAAGCCUUCAAUCAGUCUGCAUAGGCUAAAGGUCUCGUAUUUAGCAGGUUAUAAGAUAAUCAGUUCAAUUUUGAGUACGGCAGAAUCGAAUUAUAGGAUUCAACCCCGAAGCAAGUUUCUACCAAGCUAUAGUUUCUCAUUGUAUGAAUUAGAGCUUUGCUAAACUAAGAAAAAUGAACGGAACUGGCAACAGAAAUAUAAUAUUUGACUUUUCUUUUGUAAUUUAACUUCAUCUGAAUAUCCAUCAAAACACUACAUGAUUAACCCCGCUCAUAAAUGCUGAAUGAAAGCCGCCGAGUAAACAAUAUAGCUACUAACCUCUUCUUUUUGAAACAUUCGCGCAAUAGAAACAUGAUUACAUCUUCUUACUACCGUUGGUUAAUGCCAACCAAAACCCUAAAAGCCCGAACGUGCUCCAGUCUUUUACUUUGAGCCUCUGUUUUAGCUUCUGAUGCCCUUAAGUUCCUGUAAAGAUUCUUGUGGAAUUUCAUGUACUCCUUUUUAUACUUCCACUUAUCAAAGAAGUUAUUAUACUUCGACAUGUAGCUGAUAAUCUCCAUCACCCUCUCAAAGUAGCCACCUUUAAGAAAAUUUAAAAGCAAGCAAUCAAGCAAGUCUCUAUCUGCCGCUAAAUCUUUAUCUUCCAUCUCUCUCUUUAUUUCUCCCCAUAAUAUCGUAAUCGCAUGGUACGAUUCUAUGGAAGAAGAACCAUCAAGUAGAUAUUUAAAAGUCUGCAUGGUGGGCCGGAUAUUUCUUUCUCAUGCUUCUGAAUGUCCUCAUAGCAUCUUCAACCAUUUUUGCUUGGCAAAAGAAAAGAAUGGAAUUGUUAAGCUCGUAAAUUAGUUGACUCCCAACACGUUCUUCUUGGAUUUCCUUUUCCAGAAACUCAGCCAGAUGUGACUUAGUCUCAAGAGAAGCGGAAGUCACAUCGACAUCGGUUCCAAGAAGACCUGCUUUUUCUAUCUGUUUCGAAAGCUUUUUAGAUUCUUCCAACUUGUUAUCUUCGCAAUAUGCUUGCAAAAGUAAGGCAUAUGUAUUCGCUUCAAUAGGAACUCCAGCUGAUUCCAAAUCAUCUAGAACAUCAUGGGCAACAUCAGACCAACCCACCUGAUUGCAGGCGCCCAUCACAUCAAAACAUAAACCAUUUACUUUGAAAUCAACUUCUUUAUGCAAUGUAGUCAUAAAAUGACAGAGUUCACUGAUCAUUCUCUCUUUGACGAAGCUGUUGAUAAGCUUUGCAAAAGCCUUUUCAUUUGGAACAAGCUUACCAUCUAAAAAAAGGACUAGCUCUGGGCUGCCUUGUACAUCAAUGAGAAAAUCAUUGUCCAGCUUUGUGGGCUCAACAAUUAGUUUGAAUCCUGACUUUAGGUUACUUGAGCCAAUUUGCACUAAGCAAUGCUUUUGGAACUCAUUAUUGAAAAAUUUAUUAGACUUUGGUCGCCGAUAGAGAUCAAGCAUGAGUUCUGUAGCAGCAUCAAUAUCACCAUAUAUAAAGUGUAGGCUCAACAAACUAUCAUAAAACUGUCAGUGUCGGUAUUGGCGACUCAGUGACGGAGAAGAUAUGCAAUCGAUAUAUUCCUUCAAUCUCUUCAACUCACCACGUUGUCCUGUCAUCUGAUAAAUCCUAGCAAUGAGUAUUAUGGAACUUGCAUCAGCUACUAUUCCUACCAAUGAGAUCAAUCCUAUUAUUUCUUGUGCCUUCAAGGUGCAUCUAUACCUUACACAAGAGUCUAGGACAAGAUUAAACACGUUUACACUGGGCUUUAUCGCGCCUACUUUCUUGGGUUUCUUCCUUUCUGUGACUUCGUGCGAAAAGAGCUCACAAGUCUCAAUCAGGAUAUCAAUUGCAAGAUAGGAUCCAACUUCCGUCUUAACCAGAUGCAAGAACAAAGUGCUCAAUAUAUCAAGUGAUGGAAGCUUUGCAUUCUCUAAGAUUAUCCUCAGAAUCGUGGACGCAGGAAAGGGUUAGAGCUAGCUUGGUUAAUGAGCUGCAGUCAAGAUAAUUAGGGUUCUCUUUAUAAACCAUGAGUGUGAUAUCAUAUGCUUUCCGAAGCCAUUGACGACUAGAUGAAUAAGACAACAAUAAGACCAUUCUAUUCACCAACUGUAGUUUAGGAAGACCGUAUAACCUUUUAAAACUGCUAAAAGCUUCCCAUGCUUCAUCGACAUUGUCAUCUUUCAAAGCAACUUCAAGCUUCUUCGAUAAGGUUUCAGAUGAUGACGAUAAGCAUCCCCAUUGGAUGGUCUCAUGUAGACUGGUAGAAAAAUGUUGAACACUAGGACACUGGAGUAUCCAGUUAUAUACAGCGGGAUCAUUAAGCACAUAAAGACCACGGGAUGAUGAAAUUCUUGCAGUAUUGACCUGAAGUGACAGAGCAAACUUGACUACAUUAAUCAGGUUAAUCGACUCACAUGUUAUAACAAGGAUUCAUUAAAGUGAUUCAUCUUACACUCCGAACAUUUUUAGCUACAUAAGCUGUCCAAGAGAGUCUGUACCUGCAUCGGUUAAAUCCAUGAAAGCCCCUCAUUGCACAUCAAAAUUUUCUCGCCAAGAUGAAGAUAAUGAAAGACAAGAUGUAAGCGCACUAUUUCCCGUGUCAAGAGAACUAGUCAUCUUACUGGUCACAGUAUGUUUUUGGGAAGCUUCUAGAAUGUUCAAUCACCAUAUGGAGACAAUAUCAUCAAGAAUUCUAUAAGCUGCCAAUGUUUUGAAAUAUUCUUUCAUUCCAGUAGUUGUAUUGAUUGACCUGUGACUUUCAGCAGAGUGAAGCUGGACUAGUGUUUCUCGUUUAACCAGUAGCAAUUCCAAAGGACAAGGAAUAAUUUGAGAACAACCUCAAAAGUUUAUGGUAUCGAAUGUCCAAAUUAAGUUCUAGGACCAAAGUGAAACUAGGCCAAGAAUUUGGGAACAAGUGGUGCACAUAUAACUACUUGAAAGUUGAAAAGUAAGGGUAAAAACAUAUAGAGACCCCCCUCAAAUAUAAGCAUUCUUAUAGGUCCCUGUACCUUUUUCCUUUUUUUCCCCCUAAUUGACACCCCGUUAAUUUCUAAUUUUACUGAUUUGAGUUAUUCUAGUUUGUUGACUUAGGCCUUGUUUCGAUGUCGGAAUAAGUUAUUCGAUGAUUCAAUAGGUUUUUUUUUGUGCGAUUGGAAGGUAGAAAUUUCAUUUUUGCUCGUUGAAAAGUCUUAGCAUCCAAGAUUUGGUGGAAUAGCAUAUUUCACCUACAAGGUGAUUUAUCCUCUAUUAAAAAAAUGACUUGAAAAUCUUCCAAUCAUAAUAAAAAAUUUUAUUCCGAAUAAGAUAUCACUUGGAUAACUUAUUCCGACAUCCAAUAAAUUUGAGAUAAUCCACAACUUAUUUCACUAAAUCACUCAAUUCCAAACAAAUAAAAAGUUAAAAGGGGUGUCAAACCAAAAAGUUAAGAGGUCUUAUUUCAAAAGUGCCUAUAGUUGAGAGAGUCUCCAUACAUUUUUACUGGAAACAAAAAAAAAAAAAAUUGAUAUGUAGUGAAAGAAUGUGAAACAAUUUCAAUAUGUAGGUUAAAGAAAUAACCGUUUUUCUCUAAAAACUUAAGCUAAUAGAGAACCGUGCUUUUAAUAUUAAUUAAUAUUCAACAUUUCCCCUCACUCCCCCUCACGUCUGGACUGGAGACGAGUCCAGAGAGCUUGGGAGGACUCGAACUCUGGACCUUCUACUAUGAUAUCAUAUUAAAGAAUAUAAAAUAAUUGUUUUUCUCUAAAAACUUAAGCUACCAAAGAAGGUGCUUUUUAUUUUUAUAUUCAACAGAUAGAUAUAAUCUAAAAAGAAUAAAAUUCCAAAAAAUUGAGAAAUGUUAAUGAAACAGAAGACAAAUCUCAAUUCCCAGCUAAUAACUGAAGAGAUAAUAACAUAUCAACAUUCAAAUCAAGAAAAUUGAGUAAUUCUCAUCAGUUUCAACCAUUUUCUCUCCAAGAAUCUAAGGCUCUACACAUUCCUAGAACAUAAUCACAAAACCCUAAUCUUUAAGUAGCAUCCAAAUUAGCAAAAAAAAGGGGUUGAGAAAACCCUACCAGAGGAGAGAGAAGGGCCAUGAACCAUCUCCAAGAAACCAAUUCUCAGUGAUUGAUGCUUAAAUAAAAAACAAAAAAUAAAUAAAGGGAAAAAGAGAAUGUAAAAAAAAAAAAAAAAAUCGAGAGAAGAGAAAGAGAGACUCGUCCGCUCUUUUCUCUUCAAGAAGAUGCGGUUCAACGCCGAAGCGGCCGCACUCGUCGAACCGGGCCGGUUCAAAACGUUCGCUGGUUGGUCUUACGGGUCGGUUCGGUUUGUUUGGUUCAGUUUGAAAAAGUAAACUUUUACAUAGCUUUUUUGAAAUAUGGACCAUUUUGAAAAUUUAAAAUUUUUUAUUUUGCAACUCAAUCUUUCAAAUUAUUUGAUUUGAAUUAGUCAACGAUAUUUUGAUUUAACAAUUUUGAACUAAUUACUUCGAUAAAUUUAUAGUUGCGAAUUACAUAAGUAUACUAAUUACUUAUGUAAAGAUGAACAAUAUAUUCAAAUUUUAAAAUUAAAAUACCAUUGAGUGACUCACAUAAGACAAAUUGAAAGAUUAAGAGAAAUUUAAUAACCGAUUCAAAAUGAACCAAAAUUUUAGAUAAUGAAUAAUCUUUGCAGUGCUCAUCCUGAUUUCUUUUUAUUUCAAUUUAUUUUCUUUAAAAAUACUUAUUUUAUUAUAAAAUAUUUUUCUAUGUUUGAUAACACUAAUGCUGGCUUUUAGGGCUUAUACAUGACAACUUUCUAGCACUUUUUUAAGUCCAUUUAAGUUCCUCCAAACACAUUUUUAAGUACUAAAAUUCAAGCGAAAUCAGAAAUAAGUAUUCACGCAAGAGAUUUUCUUUAUCAAGGGCGAGAAUUCGACUGUUUUUAAUGCCAAGUCAUCUUACCACGUCAUCACUUUUAAUAUUUUCAUCAAUCAUUAACAAAAUCUCAAAAUUAUUGAACCUAUUCCACACAAAACUAAAGUGCCAAAAUUGACAUUUUUUAAAUUCUUUUAUGCAUGACAUGGAGUAAAGCACAGGAGGGUUUUAUAAUUAAGCCUAUUUUAAAAUUAUAAAUAGGGCUAAUUCAGAAUCCAAGGCCCAAAAAUACUCCAUGGAGGAUGGACCAGAUUUGAACUAUUUUGGGCCUUAUUAUUGGGCCAACAUUAUGGAAUUUUUUUUCAAAAUUUUUAUUUGAUUUUAUUUUUGCCACUGUUGAUUUGUACGCUCCAUAUAUAGAGUUGAGCUCGAAUGCUAUCGGUGGCAAAUGAGUUCUGUUGCCACCAAUUUGUUUUCGAUGAUGGAGCGCUAGCCUUCAAAUCGACGAUCGGUACCGUUGAACAUGAUCUAUACCACUUGAAGUAACUAGAAACCAAAUUUCAAAUCUUUUCGACAUCAUUGAACUAAUGAUCAAAGGGUUUCAAAAUUUAUAAUUUUAAUGGUAGAUAUGAGGCAUUUUCUUAUUUAACGGUGUAAAGCUAUACAAAUCAAAUGAAUUUUGGUUAGAAAAUUCUUUAAACUAUUUAGAACAAGAUCUAUACUCUCAAUCUUAAUUAUAAAAUUCCUAUCAUCACUUUUUAGAGGAUAUUUAUUUUCAACCGUUCAUUUUUACGCCCACUUGAUGGAGAAGAGAACAAUAUCGAAAAAGUAUGAAAUUUAGUUUCUAGUUACUUCAAGUGGUAUAGAUCAUAUUCAACAGUGCCGAUCAUCAAUUUGGAGGCUCCAUCAUCGAAAAUAAAUGGGUGACAACGGAACCCGUUUGCUACCGAUAGUAUUUCAGCUCAACUCUCCAUAUAUAAUAACCUAAAGAUGUACGGAUGCAUCCCGCGGUGAUAGAACAUUCUGAAAUGGCCCUCGAGUUUUGAUUAUUUCGACCGACACCUCCUCACCUUUCAACUGAUUUCAUCAAUUUUAACACCUUUAGCAACUUUUACAGCUGACGAAAUUUUAAUUCCGUUAAUAAGUAAUUUGUGACAAGUAAUGGGAUCGCUAGAAGAAUGUUUGAAGUUAAUGGUCUAUGCCAAAUUAUGCUAUAGUUGCAGGGGCCUCCUUACAUUUUUACCUUUUUUUUUUAUGUUCUCUUUAACUUUGCAUAUCAUAUUUGCCUAAUAAACACUAAAAACUAAUACCUCAACUGUUAUUAAAGAUAAGAGAAUAAAUAAAGUAUAUAUAUCAUUUAGCAAUAUUCCUCCAGUGAUAGGUCUCAUCUUCUCAGUCAUGUUUCAAAGAACAUAAGUAUAAGGCAUCAAUACUAAGUGAUAGCAUAUUCAUCUUCGUAUAAUGCAACAAGCAAUUUAUCUGUAAUUGUGGAUGAGAAUUUUCAUCUUCUAUGUAUAUUUUCUCCAUCACUCCUUUUGGAAUGUUUUUGACACAAAACGUGUUUGGCCUAGCUGAUAAAUGCAACAAGCAAUUUAACGUAUCUGCUUCUGUAAUUGUGGAUGAGAAUUUUCGUCUUCUAUGUAUAUUUUCUCCAUCACUCCUUUUGGGAUGUUUUUGACACAAAACGUGUUUGGCCUAGCUGAAGUUUACGCUUUUUCAUAGCAUGUUCUCGAACUUCAGGCCUUAUUUGAUGCAGUUGCGCUUUUCCUUUUCGCCAAAGAAUGGUAUAGGAUGCUUACAGUAUAUUUGUUUACGAGGUUUAUUUGAUAACACAAAUAUAAAAGUUAAGUAGCUUGCUUUUCUUGUUCUCAUCAAAUGAAGUUUUUACUUUAAAAUGGAAAAAUGCAAUGUGGUGCUUUCUAUGAAUCAUAUUCCUUUCAGCUAGGGUUGGAGCAAUUGGAAAAAAUAGGAGAGAGACACUUUUUCCUUCUAAGUAAUGUGCCUAUAUAUUUGUAAACUUGGAGGUGUCCACUCAUGGACAUUUCACAUCAUUGUCCACCCAAAAAGCACCUUGUUAGUGAGCUCUUCUACAUUAAUUAACCAAACUAAUUAAUGAAGUGUCAAUUCAAAUCUUAGAUUAAACAUAAAUCAAACUCCACAACACUCUUAGUUUUCAUAUUCAUACAGGCUAGUUGUUUGGUCCUUCAAAAAAAUUGAAAAUUUUUUUUUAAAAAAAGUUCUUUACAAAAAUUUUUGUUUCAGUUUUCUCUAAUUCGUUUGAUCUUAAAAAAAGUACGUUUAUUUUUUUGGAACUGAACAGAUGAAAAAAUAGAAAAUGAGUUUUCCUUGAAAUUUUUUUAAAAAAACUGACUUCUCUAAGAAACUGAACAGUCCCUAAAUUACAUUUGAAUAAAUUAAACUUUUGAUCCUCAAACUAUAAGGGCCAUGAGGAUUUGGUCCUGAAACUUAAUUUGUAGUAAUUUCCGUCUCGAACCAAUACCGUAUAGUACAUUAUUUUUGAUAAAGAAAGAUAUUUUAUGUCGCUCAAAAUAUUAUUUUUAUUUGCUAUGUGUUAGUAAAUAUAUAAUUUUUUUUUUCGACCUUGUGCAUGAAUAAUCAAUUAACUUUACAUUAUAAUUGUCAACACCUAAGUAACCUACAAAGAGAGACAUUUUGCAGUAAUUCGAUAAAGUACUAUACGAAUUCAUGGUAUUAAAACUCUUUCGACGGCUUUUGAUAUCGAGCACUUAUUUCAAUGAUUUACUAUCAAAUUUUAGCUUUCCAUCGCAGCAACAGAAGUUUUAAAUUUAUCUUAUUUAUCAAAUGCGCGCUUUUCUAAAGACGCUGAAAGAACAUACAAAGGAUUAGACAUACAAGCACUUCAGAUUUGUUAGACCUUCAAUGCGAUAAAAUACUGUUAAGUGGAAGUAUCAAUUUAAGCAAUGUUUUCUCCAAAUAUUCUUUUUCACUAAACUAAAAUCAAAUUUAUUUUUCUAUUGUUGAUCUACAAAAUUUGUCUCCAUCAUUUGUAAGAAAAUUUAAAAUUACUUAUCUACCAAAAGCUCUAUGCAAAUGACUUUGACUAACUUUCCCUUUUUCUUUUUCUUUUUUUUUCUUCUCUAUUUUACAGUUUAGAUUUCUCAUUAGAUAAUCAGUAACCUAUUUUGCUAAUACUCUAACAAUGACAAUUCUGGUAAACUUUUUCGAUCAUUUUACUUACCUAAAUUACAUUUAUGCAAUCAUAAUUACUGUAUUUUUAACUACUAUGAGCAUAUCCAGUUACACUGUAUUUCUAAUUAUAUCGAACCGUCACUACAACAAAAUUGGUAUAUAGCAAUACUUUUAAAUGUCGGUAUAAGUCAAAAAAAGUGUUGCUGGCUAAAUUACCGACACUUUUCAAAAGUGUUGCUAUAUGUGGGGUCGCUAGGUGUAUAGUGACACUUUUUAAGAGUGUCGGUAUAACUUAAAAAAAAUGCUGCUAAUUUAUCAAUACUUAUUUAAGCAUUUAGCAACUGCCGAAACCCUACCUCGUCGGCUGCGGGGUGAAGGAGGAGGAGAGCGAGGGGCUCUUCGUCUAGGAUUUCAAUAGAUUGAGUGAGGGGAGAAGGAAAGAUGGUGAUCUUUUUUUUUUUUUUCUUUUUCUGUUUGUAAUCGGAACGAACGAGCUGGGUGGGGUGGGUUGAGUAGAGUAACAUUUUAUUUUUGGUUGAAUUGAGCUUUAUAUUUAGACCUUACUAUAAUUUUUUAAAAAUUUUGAUAUAAAUAGGACACUUAUGAUAAAGUAUUCUAGAAAUAUAUCGCUAUAAUCUAAUUCUGUUGUAGUGCGUAUGACUCAUUAGUUUAACGGAGUUAAUUUUUGAUCUGAAAAUGACUUAUUAGGGACAAACCGACACAGCACAAAGUAGCUUGCAUUUUAUGAUAGUUUCAUUUCAUAAGCGUACGCAAAAGGUGUGGCGUGGUGGGGGCCCCACUUUAGUCCUCUCUCCCAUUAAUGGGCCACUAAUCUUGAAGUUUGUCGUUCGCUUGUUUUGUCGCGGCGCCCCCCCACACCCCCCCUGAUUCGAUCCCCCGCCUUCGUCGUUUCCCUUGGACGGGAAUCGAUUUUGGCGCGUUCCGUCGCGUUGGCUUGUGUGGGCCACCCCCGACCCCACCCCAUCCAAUUAGCUUCUUAAACCCAAAUAAUAAUAAUGAUAAUAAUAAUAAUAAUAAUUAUUAUUAUUAUAUAAAGCUUACAGUAAAAAUAUCAAAUGUUUAAAUAUAUCUCUAUAAAAUUUAAGUUAUAAUAUUUUUCCUUCUAAAAAUUCUUCUAUCAAUAAAAUUUAGAUAACUAUGAAUUAAAAAAAAGGGACUAAAUUACAGAAAACCACCUUGUAAUAAUCCGCUUUUUCACUUUUCUCCCUUGACAUUUAAAAACCUACACUUUGCCCCCUUGUAAAAUAAAAAAUGUGCACUUCACCUCCUACUGUUAGGGUUCCGUUAUAAAAUAUUUUUUUAUGCCGAAAAUAUCCCUCCGCUCUCUUUCCUGUUGCUUAGCCUCCCUUCGGCUCGCCACCUCGCCGCCGCCUCGUCGUCCUCCACUGCCUCGCCCUUGCCCAUAUCUCUUUCGCCGUCCUUCGCCGCCUCACCUUCGCCCUCGUUGCCCUUGCCUACUCUCCAUCAACACCCACCUCGGUUUCCUCCAUACUGUCGCCGAAAUCGAGGGACGGCGAGGAUGCAGGAGGAGAAGGGGAGAAGGUGGAGAAGGAAAUUGAGAAAAAUCGUGGCCGAUUGAGGUGGGAAUCGCGGCCGAUCGAAGGGGCGGCUGAGAAAGAUGGGGAAGAAGACGAAAAUGGCGAGGGGCAAAAUGGUUAUUUUACACACCGUAACUCCCUUGUGAACAUUUUUAAUUUUACAAGGGGGCAAAGUGUAGGUUUUUAAAUGUCAGGAGAGGAAAGUGAAAAAGCGGGUUAUUACAAGAAAAUUUUCUGUAAUUUAGCCAAAAAAAUAAACCUAAAAUUAUCUUUUUGUCCCUAAUAUAUAUAUAUAUAUAUAUAUAUAUAUAUAUAUAUAUAGAGAGAGAGAGAGAGAGAGAGAGAGAGAGAGAGAGAGAGAGAGAGAGAGAGAGAGAGAGAGAGAGAGAGUGGAUGAGAGGAUGAGAAGGAUGAGAAGGAUGAGAGCUUUUGAUCGUAAGGUAAAUGAUGUCGAAAAAUUAUGAAAUUUGAUUUCUAGAUGUUUCAAAUGCUCUAGAUAAUGUUUAACGGUGUGGAACGUCGAUUCGGAAGUUCUAUCAUCGAAAACAACUUAUGAGUACGAGGGCAAUCGUACUCAUAAUAAUAUAGUAGCCCUACUAAUAUUAGGUCUCAUCAUCCUUCUCAUCCUCUCAUGUUUAUUCAUGGUGAUUGACGAGACCUACAACGGCGGCGAUGUCGAAGACGAGGCCCUCGGUCGCGGCAAAAAUGAGAUACGUUGCACGUCCCUAGCGCAAGUGGUAAAGGGCUUAGUGGUUGAUACUCGAGGUCCCAAGUUCGAAUCCUAAUUGAUUCACGUUUCUAGUUAAUUUUUUUUUUAAGAGAUAGGUAGCAUGCUACCCGCUUCGUUUAUUUCAUUUAGAAAUAAACUUAGCUAGAAAUGUAAAUCAAGUAAGAUUCGAACUUGGGACCUCGGGUACCAACUAUCAAGCCAUUUGCCACUUGCGCUAAAAACAGGCGGUGUUAAGUUUAUUAUUAAAUGAAAUAAAAUGAAGCGGAUAAUAUGCUAUUUAUCUCUCAAAAAAAAUAUAACGAGAAACAAAGUAUGCCGAAAAUAAAUUCUACAUCUUCGUCUUAUAACUGUGACAUUUAAUAGUUUUGAUGUAAAAAAUAAAGUGGGAGUAAGGAAACAACCAAGAAAAGUGACAAAAGGCAAGAUGGUGUGGAUAAGGCCAAUUGUAGAUAAGAGGGGUGGAUACAUAAAUGUAUGUGCAAGAAUGCAACCCCUAGCCUUGGCAUUUUUGUUGUCUUUAUGCUCACAUAGUAAAUACACUUCUUUUUUUUUAGAGAAAAAAAGUACGCUGUCUGAUUUAUUUAUUUUUAGAAAUAAAUUUAAUUAAAAAUUAAAAAUAACUGAUUUUCGAACUUGAAAUUUUAGAUAUCAAUCAUCAAAUUUUUUAUCAAUUGUGCUAGAGAUGGCCGGUAGAUACUCGUAUUCUUGUUCUAGAAUUGCGAAUGCUACGACUUAAAAAGUUGCGAAUAUCAUGAUAUUUAGCUGUUUUGAUUACUAGGCUUAUAAUAUCAAAAAAAUCGUAAAACUUAUUUUCUAAGUAUUUCAAAUAUUCUAUAUCAAAUUUAAUAUAGUCGAUCGUCAAUUCAAAAUUCUUAUCAUAAAAAAUUAACAACGGGAAGCACGAAUUCCUCUAUGCUUCUAAAAGCACUCCAACUCAACCCCCUCUAUGCUUUUAGAAGUAUGGUGGCCUCCGUAUUAUCGAGUGGUUUUUUAUGUUAGGACUUCUGAAUCAACAAUCAGGUCUAUUAGAUUUGAUAUAAAGUAUUUAAAGUAUCUAAUAGAAGGAGCCUAAAAUCAACAAUCAGCAAUUUUAAUAAAAGCUAUAAAUAAUAUUGAGCCAUUUCGAUCACUAGAUAAAUGAUAUCGAAAAAUCACGAAAUUUAUUUUUUAAAUAUUUUUAAUACUUUAGAUCAAGUUUAAUGGAGUCGAUUGUCGAUUCAAAAGUCCAAACAUCAAAAAUGACUUAAUAGCACGCAAAUCUCUGUACUUUUAAAACCAUACAAGCCGGACUACAUAUAUAUAUAUAUAUAUAUAUAUAUAGAGAGAGAGAGAGAGAGAGAGAGAGAGAGAGAGAGAUCACAUAAUAUACUGUUGAUAGUAAAUAAAUAGUAUUUACUAUCAUCUCUGUUACCUUUAGAUUAAUACUAUUCCACUUAGCCCCACUAAAUCUAAGGCAUAUAAUAGAUUAAAAGCGGGUAGUAAACAUUAUUCUUUUACUAUCAAUAGUAUUCCAGCCGCACAAACAUACACGUGAUUUCGGUUGUUUGAACUUUCUAAAAAUUGAAUUUCAUGAUUUUACAAUAUUAUUUACCCAAUGACCAAGUAAUGCCAAAUCUAUUUUAUUAUUAGCCGUUAAAAGUUAUCAAGUUUCGAACCACAAAAAUGCUAAUAAUUUUAAAAAUUAUAAAAUUUGAAAACUAAAAUUGAAGUUUUAAGUACUCUAUCUCAUGUCUAGAUGAAUGUUCCCUUAUCAAACAAAUAAUGCAAAAGUAAAUAAUCCAAUUAACUUCUAAAAAAAUUAUAGUUCAUGGGAUGUUUGAUAUCUUGAAAAAGCAUGAGAAGGUGUUUUUCAGAAAAAAAAAGAAAAAGACUAAAAUAAACAAAAUUUUUUUGUAAAUACCUAUUUUUUUAUUUUUUCUUUCUGAUUUUUAAAAACUUAUAUUUUAUCCUCUUAAAUUUUUAGAAUUAUUUUCAGAGGGUACGACAUUAAUGAAGAGAGUAAAAUGAUCAAAUUAUCUUUAUUUUUUAUAUAAAAAAAUAAAAUUUUAAUAUAUUUAUGUCAUUUUGGAAGAUAUUUUCGAUAUAAAUUAUAAAAAAUGAGCAAAAUAACAAUGAAACUCUGACGGAUAGGGGCUAAAUGCAACAACAACUUGAAAUAUCGAGCGGUUAAAAUAUGAAUUUUUAAAAGUUAGAAAAGAAAAGUAAAAAAAAAAAAGGUAUAUUUAUAAGAAUGUUUUCUAUAAUUUAGCUAAAAAAAAGUGCUUUCCACGAAAACACUUUUUUUUAAAUUUUUUUUUAUUUUUGAAUAAUAAAUUUCAAAAAUAAAAAUACUAUUUUUUUAUAAAAUUUGAAAAAAAAAAAAUUUUAUGGAAUAUUUGGAGUGAAACCAAACCCCUCCUGGCUAGAGAGAGAGUGUACAUGUGUGUGUGCAUGUGAGGACAUGCAAGGAGCUAGAGGACGUAUAUUGUUGUGGGGACGGUGGAUCACCUCCUCGUGCGGCUCACGCAAGGCGACGAGAGAUGCUCCCUGCCAUGUGACGCGGGCGCCACGCACACACCCCCUCUCCCCCCACCUUCCCCGCCAACCACGACAGUUCACAUCCCCUGCGCCCUGCCCACCAAAACGUCGGCCCUGCACCGCACCCCAGUUCGCCAUCAUCUCUCUCUAUACAUAGAGAGAGAUAGACCGACCGUUCUUAGAGCAAGUGAUAAAGAACUUGAUGAUUGAUAUCUGAGGUCCCAAAUUCGAAUCCUAGUUGAUUCACAUUUUCAGCUAAGUUUAUUUCUAAAUGAAAUAAACGAAGCGGGUAGCAUGCUACCUAUCUCAAAAAAAAAUCACAUGAGCUCAUGUACUUUUUUAUACCUGUGAUUUUUUAAUUGUUGGAUUGUUUUAAAUUUUAUACAGUAAAAAUAGAGAAAAUUUAACAGGACAUAUUGUUAAUAAUACCUUACGAAUCUUGAGGCGACUGGAUGACUUCAUGUGCUUUUAAAAGCACAAAAAUUCAACUAUAUACGUAUAUAGAAUCUGGUUGGAAUAUAUUUAAAACUGCCAAAAUAUUGGUGCUAUAGUCUUCUUAAUUAAAUAUUGAAUCAAUCCUAGUGACUCUUGGAUAAUACACAAUGGUGGAUCCAAAAAAUAAUCAUCAUUGUUAAUUUUCUAUUCACUAACCAGAAUGAUAGAUUUAAUUAAGAGCUAAAAAAUUAUAAAUAGUAAAAUCUUGAUAUUUUUAAAAGUAUUCAAGCAUAAUUUUAUAUAUAUAUAUAUGUAUUAAAUUGGCAAUGGAAAAUGUUUUAGAUGUUUCAGUGCUGCGCUUAUUUAUUUUAAUUUCAAGUAUCAUGUGAAGAAUUUUAAUUGAUUUAUAUACAUAUAUUUUAUAUAAAAGCAAAAUUAUAGGAAACCUACAGUAGAAAACAAUAAUUAUGAGUAUGGACGAAGGGUGAUGCCGUAGGAAAAAUUCUAAAAUGCAACGGAUAUAUUAGUGACGUCGCGUAACAAAUCAAUCAAAUAUCUCCUUUUAGGAGUAUAUGUCCCAUCAUGAUUAUAAAAAAAAUAUUUUUAUUGUACUUUUGUUUGAAAAGAAAAAAUGUAAUUGGCUUGUAACUGAUGACGUGAUGUAAGUGUGACAGUGUAGAAUUUCUCGAUGCCGUAGGAGGCCCGUUUUAUGGCAAUUAUUAUUUUAUAUAGAACAAGCAACAUCUAAGCAUAACUUUCUGUGUUACACAUAUAUACAAAAUUAAAUUUUUAACUAAGUUAUAUUUUUUAUUCUCAAAUUGCCUGAUAAUAGUUUGGUCCUCGAAUUGUAUUUUAUUAUAAUUUAUAUCUUGAAAUUUCAAAAUUAUUACAAUCGUGUCUUGCAGUUGAACUUCGUUCGCUAGAUAUGGAUGUAUUAUUAAUAUAAUAGUAAUGUGAUAUUUUAGUCAUGUCAUGUGACCAAUUAUAUUAUUAUCACAUCAAUAAUACAUCAUCAUUUUGGUCAACUCAAAUAGACUAUGGCAUUUGAUUAUAAUAAUUUAAAAUUAAAAAUUAAAAAUUAUAAUAACUGAAAAUUGAGAAUCAAAAAUGUCACGCACGCUUAUCACGAUUUGUGGACCACAAGUGUAAUUUUUCUAAAGCUUUUAGUUAAUUUUAGUAUAAAGUUAUCAUAUUAUUUGUAAUUAAACUCUUUGUUAUUUUAUAUAACUGAUUUGAGAUAAAGCGUUGUAUAAUCCUUUGCGGAUAUAUUUUUCCGGAGCAAUUCUCCUUUUUGCACAUUAAAUGUAAAUCUUACACUUCAUUUACUCAAAGCCUAUUAUAUAUUUUUUUACUAAUUUUAUCAAUUUAUUCUUUAACACAAAAUUAAGUAUAAAAAAUGUUUAUAAAUUUUAGGAUGAGUGUUGAUGGUAGCAUUCUACCUGUGGCGGGAGGCGGACCAAAUCACAUUCGAAAUGGAGAGAGGUCGGAUUGGGCGGAGUUAUAUUCGAAGUAGCGUGAGGCUUGUUGGAUCGAUUCACAAUAGAGAUCUGUGGAAUAACGUGUCUAUACACUUUAAGUGAAUUAAUUUAUGCACUUCUAAUAGCACAUUAAUGAUUAGCGCCAAUAACCCCGCCCCUACCUCGAAAAAAAUCUAAAAUGUACCGGAUAUAUUAGCAACGUAAGUUACGUAAUGUUUUCAACUAAUAAAAUUAUCUCCUUAGGUUGAUACGCUGUAUUAUGGUUAAUAAAAAAAUAUUUUUAUUAUAAUUUUUUAAUAAAAGAAUAAUUUAUUUUUGAUAAUGUGAUGCAAGU